GACGCAAAACUGCCGAGUUCCCGUCGUCCAGCACGGCAGGGAGCGGGGGACCCACUCGGGCCGGAUCCGUCCGGCCCACGGGGCGAAUCGCCACCGGCCACUCCGCCAUCGGAGGGCUCUGGAGGCGUAGCGCACUCUUUCAGCGCGAGCCCGUCAGCUCACCUCGUAGGCGACAGAAAGAGAACUC
rnacentral:sRNA from 2 species